GAACGAACGCUGGCGGCAUGCCUAACCCAUGCAAGUCGAACGAGACCUUCGGGUCUAGUGGCGCCCGGGUGCGUAACACGUGGGAAUCUGCCCUUUGCUUCGGAAUAACAGUUAGAAAUGACUGCUAAUACCGGAUGAUGUCGAAAGACCAAAGAUUUAUCGGCAAAGGAUGAGCCCGCGUAGGAUUAGGUAGUUGGUGGGGUAAAGGCCUACCAAGCCGACGAUCCUUAGCUGGUCUGAGAGGAUGAUCAGCCACACUGGGACUGAGACACGGCCCAGACUCCUACGGGAGGCAGCAGUGGGGAAUAUUGGACAAUGGGCGAAAGCCUGAUCCAGCAAUGCCGCGUGAGUGAUGAAGGCCUUAGGGUUGUAAAGCUCUUUUACCAGGGAUGAUAAUGACAGUACCUGGAGAAUAAGCUCCGGCUAACUCCGUG
rnacentral:rRNA from 1 species